rnacentral:rRNA from 1 species
UACGUAGGGUGCAAGCGUUGUCCGGAAUUACUGGGCGUAAAGCGUGCGCAGGCGGUUCGUUGUGUCGGUGGUGAAAUCCCCGGGCUUAACCUGGGAAUGGCCAUGGAAACUGGCGAACUGGAGUGCGGCAGAGGGGGGUGGAAUUCCGCGUGUAGCAGUGAAAUGCGUAGAGAUGCGGAGGAACACCGAUGGCGAAGGCAGCCCCCUGGGCUAGCACUGACGCUCAGGCACGAAAGCGUGGGGAGCAAACAGG